rnacentral:rRNA from 1 species
GUUGAACGCUGGCGGCAUGCCUUACACAUGCAAGUCGAGCGGUAACGGGACUUCGGGUGUUGUCGGGUGGUGGCCGGGGGCGUAAUACAACGACACGUACCAGCUCCCUGGGGGAAAGGGAGCACAUCGGUAGACCAUACCUAAUACCGUCUAAGAUUUUGAACCGGGGGGCUCAAAGCUUAGCGAGGAUCGUGCGGCCGCUGGUAGAUUAGGUAGUUGGUCGGAUAAAAGCUUACCAAGCCGACGAUUUGUAGCUGAUCUGAGAGGAUGAUCCGCCACACUGGGACUGAGACACGGCCCAGACUCCUACGGGAGGCAGCAGUGGGGAAUUUUGGACAAUGGGCGCAAGCCUGAUCCAGCCAUGCCGCGUGCAGGAUGAAGGCCUUCGGGUUGUAAACUGCUUUUGUACGGAACGAAAAGCCUUCUUUGAAUACAGGAGGGUCAUGACGGUACCGUAAGAAUAAGCACCGGCUAACUACGUG